GGAGUUAGCCGGUGCUUCUUCUGUGAGUGAUGUCCUUCCUGCCGGCUAUUAACCCGCAGGCCUUCUUCCUCACUGAAAGUGCUUUACAACCCGAAGGCCUUCUUCACACACGCGGCAUGGCUGGAUCAGGGUUGCCCCCAUUGUCCAAUAUUCCCCACUGCUGCCUCCCGUAGGAGUCUGGGCCGUGUCUCAGUCCCAGUGUGGCUGAUCAUCCUCUCAGACCAGCUACGGAUCGUCGCCUUGGUGAGCCGUUACCUCACCAACCAGCUAAUCCGACAUAGGCUCAUCCGAUAGCGCGAGGCCCGAAGGUCCCCCGCUUUCCCCCGUAGGGCGUAUGCGGUAUUAGCCUGGGUUUCCCCAGGUUAUCCCCCCACUACCGGGCAGAUUCCUAUGCAUUACUCACCCGUCCGCCGCUCGCCACCAGGGAGCAAGCUCCCCGUGCUGCCGCUCGACUUGCAUGUGUUAGGCCUGCCGCCAGCGUUCAAUCUGAGCCAGAAUCAAACUCUGA
rnacentral:rRNA from 1 species